GAUGAAGAACGUAGCGAAAUGCGAUAAGUAAUGCGAAUUGCAGAAUUCAGUGAGUCAUCGAAUCUUUGAACGCACAUUGCGCCCUGUGGUAUUCCGCAGGGCAUGCCUGUUCGAGCGUCAUUUCAACCCUCAAGCUCUGCUUGGUGUUGGGCCCUGCCCGCUGCGGCCGGCCCUAAAGACAGUGGCGGUGCCGCCUGGCCCUGAGCGUAGUACAUCUCUCGCUCCAGUGCCCGGUGGUAGCCUGCCAGAACCCCAACUCUCGUGGUUGACCUCGGAUCAGGUAGGGAUACCCGCUGAACUUAUGCAUAUCAAUAAGCGGAGGA
rnacentral:misc_RNA from 1 species